AGAUGACGGUACCCGAAUAAGAAGCACCGGCUAACUACGUGCCAGCAGCCGCGGUAAUACGUAGGGUGCGAGCGUUAAUCGGAAUUACUGGGCGUAAAGCGUGCGCAGGCGGUUUGGUAAGUCAGAUGUGAAAUCCCCGGGCUCAACCUGGGAACUGCAUUUGAGACUGCCAGGCUGGAGUUUGGCAGAGGGGGGUGGAAUUCCACGUGUAGCAGUGAAAUGCGUAGAGAUGUGGAGGAACACCGAUGGCGAAGGCAGCCCCCUGGGCCAAUACUGACGCUCAUGCACGAAAGCGUGGGGAGCAAAACAGGAUUAGAUACCCUGGUAGUCCACGCCCUAAACGAUGUCAACUAGGUGUUGGGAGGGUUAAACCUUUUAGUGCCGUAGCUAACGCGUGAAGUUGACCGCCUGGGGAGUACGGCCGCAAGGCU
rnacentral:rRNA from 1 species